UACGUAGGGUGCGAGCGUUAAUCGGAAUCACUGGGCGUAAAGGGUGCGUAGGCGGGUCUUUAAGUCAGGGGUGAAAUCCUGGAGCUCAACUCCAGAACUGCCUUUGAUACUGAAGAUCUUGAGUUCGGGAGAGGUGAGUGGAACUGCGAGUGUAGAGGUGAAAUUCGUAGAUAUUCGCAAGAACACCAGUGGCGAAGGCGGACUCACUGGCCCGAGUACUGACGCUGAGGCACGAAAGCGA
rnacentral:rRNA from 1 species